rnacentral:rRNA from 1 species
GACGAACGCUGGCGGCGUGCCUAAUACAUGCAAGUAGAACGCUGAAGGAGGAGCUUGCUUCUCUGGAUGAGUUGCGAACGGGUGAGUAACGCGUAGGUAACCUGCCUGGUAGCGGGGGAUAACUAUUGGAAACGAUAGCUAAUACCGCAUAAUAGCAGUUAUUGCAUGAUAACUGUUUGAAAGGUGCAAUUGCAUCACUACCAGAUGGACCUGCGUUGUAUUAGCUAGUUGGUGAGGUAACGGCUCACCAAGGCGACGAUACAUAGCCGACCUGAGAGGGUGAUCGGCCACACUGGGACUGAGACACGGCCCAGACUCCUACGGGAGGCAGCAGUAGGGAAUCUUCGGCAAUGGACGGAAGUCUGACCGAGCAACGCCGCGUGAGUGAAGAAGGUUUUCGGAUCGUAAAGCUCUGUUGUAAGAGAAGAACGAGUGUGAGAGUGGAAAGUUCACACUGUGACG